rnacentral:rRNA from 1 species
AACGAACGCUGGCGGCGUGGAUAAGACAUGCAAGUCGAACGGAAUUACUUUUGUAGCAAUACAGAAGUAAUUCAGUGGCGAACGGGUGCGUAACACGUGGGCAAUCUGCCGAGAAGUGGGGGAUAGCUCGCCGAAAGGCGAAUUAAUACCGCAUGUGGUGAGGGAAGACAUCUUCCUGAAUCCAAAGCCGGGGUAACCUGGCGCUUUUUGAGGAGCCCGCGGCCUAUCAGCUUGNGGUGAGGUAACGGCUCACCAAGGCUUUGACGGGUAGCUGGUCUGAGAGGACGACCAGUCACACUGGAACUGAGACACGGUCCAGACACCUACGGGUGGCAGCAGUCGAGAAUUCUUCUCAAUGGGGGAACCCUGAAGGAGCGACGCCGCGUGGAGGAUGAAGG